rnacentral:sRNA from 1 species
CACAGAUGCGCUUGUUGGGGGAAACCUUGGAGAUUCACGGCAAGGCGUAAAGCCUGGGGCUUCCAGCGAUACUCUGGGCAGGGAUGGAAGCCUAGAUGCCUCACCGCAAGGAGCGGCCGAGUGGGUCCUCGCUUCACACACACGGCAGCACCGGCACCGCGGAGGGAGGAAACAUGUCCAGGCUGUCUCUCACCCGGUCGCCUGUGUCUCCCCUGGCUGCCCAGGGCAUCCCCCUGCCAGCCCAGCUCACCAAGUCCAAUGCACCUGUGCACAUCGAUGUGGGUGGCCACAUGUACACCAGCAGCCUGGCCACGCUCACCAAGUACCCUGACUCCAGGUAAGAGUAAGCCCCUUGAAACAUCAGGCAUGUGUGGGUCAGGGCAGCAUCUGUAAUCUGCUGCCUGAGGGGUGGGGUCUCUCCCCCCUGUCACUCCACCCACCAGGGUCUCCAGGGUGCACAAGCUGACACAGCCUGAGGGAGCUAGGGUUGGGGAGUCCAAGUCUGCCUGUUGAAAGCUGCUAUGCACAGAGGCUUGUGACCCUGACUUGGCGGCAUUGGUAGUGCAAGGUGGAGCUCCUGACCCACCUGCAGGGGACUAAGGCUUAUUCAGAGCCAGCCCUGCCUGAGCCUGCUGGCAGCCGGCAGGGGAGUCUCACGUACAGCGUGCUGCAGAGUCUCACGUGCCUUCAAGUCUCAUGUGCAGCGGGCUGGGGAGUCUCGCGUACCUUCAAGGUUCCUCUGGAGCAAGACUUAGGCCUGGCCUCUGCAGGGGGUCAUUUGUGAGUGAUACUGAGUAGGUAAGUCUUG